rnacentral:piRNA from 1 species
UCUGAAAGAAGUUAGAUUUAUGA